ACAGCAGCUUCUGGAACAGGUCGAGGAGGAGGUACGCCCUCCAGAGUAGCUGGUACAGCAGAUUCUGGAACAGGUCGAGGGGGAGGUACCAGCUUCGAAGCUAUCAUACCAAUGUACAAACCUCAUGAGGAAGGAUCCGCACGGAAGACUGAUCCCAGUCCUCAGGCGCAUCCCAGGACUCAGUUUCCUUGAAGGGGUCAAGGGGACGUGGACGUGAAACUUCUCCCUUCACAACCACGGUGGUAGCAAAGGGUCUCA